rnacentral:lncRNA from 1 species
AAAUGUUUGUUGGAAAUUUCUGCAAACAAGUAGGAAAAGCAGUAAAGGUAUUUAAAAUAGAUUAUAAAAAAACUUGUGAUAUAAAGUUAGAAAAAUAAGGAGGAUGAGGGAGAGAGAGAGAAAGCAAGAUUGAACCAUAUCUGGAACUGACGUGUCUCAGAGCUGAAUUCCUACUUUAAUACAACACCUGUGGAUCAACACAGUCCAAAGCAAAGGUCGAAAGUCGAGAAAUAUCAUAUCUUGCACAUAUAUAUAUCAUAAGGAGAAUCAAAUCUUAAUCGGCAGAACAGAGAGAAGGUUCUUCAUAUGAGACAAAUAGGUUGAACAUCCAGUGGCAGACGAAAGUUUACCGGACACUCUGUUUAGAAUUGUCAUAUAAACACAAUCAUGACGAGGGGAGAACAUACUCGUAUUCAAAGCGCUUUCUUCUACAAGGAAUCUUUUUGAGAAAAAAACAAAUCAGCCGAUUACCGAAACCCUGGCAAGAGAAAACACAAUCCAAACGCAAAACCCAUGUUAAUAAACCACUUGUUAAUGCAUACGAAAACCACACCUAAUACCUCGCCGGAUCAAAAUUACCAAAAUAAAACCAAUUCAGAAUCACAAUCAGACGAACGACCCCGAAUCCAUGACGAUCCAAUUGUCAAACCGGCAAAAUAACCCCAAAUAAAAUCAAAUCAGGACCACAAUCAGACGGUAUCGCGAAAGAGAAGAAAAAACACGCGACGGAUAAUCAUUGAAUUGAAUUGCGCAGGUUUCAUAGCGACGAUGAUACAUAUAAUCUAGAAAAACGGAGACGACAAAUAAACAAAAGCAAUAAUCAAACAAAACUCUAAAAUCCGCAGAUAACCAACAAAGACGAGAGACGAAGGAAUGAGUUACGGUUGUAGGAGGGGACGGGUAUUUAUAGAAGAGUCGGUGUUGAGUGGACGGCUGAGAUUAAUCGGAUCAAAGAUACCAAAUGGUUGGACAACCACCGUCAUUUUUGUCGCAAGUUUCUGCAAAUAGAAUUUGAAAUGUAAAAAAUAAUAGAUUAUGGAGGGAUUCAUAAGAAUAUAAAAUUUGGCAUCACUAUCGUACUCACCACCACUCGUUGUUCAACACAACCCAAAUCAUACUAUGUAGCAACCGAACUUCUCAACACAUAACACGACAUUGCCAUACAAGCAAAUUCACGAAAAGGCGGCGAAAAGCCCAAAGCUCGAAACACUUUCCUUUUUCCAGAAAUCCUAUGACCGCGCGGAAAACAAAAUCAAACCAGCCAACAACCAGACCAGGAUGGGAAAAUAUGAACCAAAUCCAAACCACGGGAUAUUAAAUUGCAUAUCACUCCAUCACCAAACAUCAUAAAUACCUUGCCGGAUCAAUUAUCAUUCAUAGAAGACCUUGACAGCACCACAGAGAAAAGAAACAUAUAAGACACGCUCCCGAUAAUUAGACUGUAAGACCAGCAAAACCACCCAAAUCAGAACCACAAACAGAAAGGCACGAAAGAGCUUUAGAUAAAACACAAGUUAGAUUAUAUUCCCCAUUAAGUAUCCAUCACAUCUGUAGCUUUACAUAAGAGACUCUGAAGCUCAUUUUCCAACGGUUUGCAAAGGGUCCAACGAUAUAUGUAAAAUCAGAUUCAACAUUCCUAUAGCACAUGUAGUUUCAGAUAUUAAAAUUGAACUAAGACACUUCCCUUAAGCCACAGAAGAAAGGUACUGACUGGUAGGACAGGUAAAUAAAUUAUCUUUCCGCGUAGUCAAUAGGCCAGAGUAAUGUAGAUGGAACUAGCAAAAACUUUCUUUAAACAGAAGGCCCACCAUCAUUUUUGUAGCAAAUGUCUGUAGACAGAGAGGAAAAGAAGAACAGGGGAUUUGAAGAUUGAUUUGAAAGUAAUAUGACCGUAUAAAGUAGUAAUAUGAAAAUUGAGGGAGCCGUUAGAAAAUACUCUCUCAAAGAAUCUGAGACGCAUCUCACUAAGCCACUACCUGCUGCCGAUCAACACAUUUUGCAACCAGAAGCAAGAAGGUUUUCAUGAGAUAAAUAAAUCAGAAAUUAAAUUAUCUUCCCCGUCAUGUUGUCCGUUAAUCAGACUCAACCUCAGAUCCAACUGCACUAAUCCAUCUUUUGCUGAAGCAAUGGGUUAUCCUGUCCAAAGAUGGAACUUCAGCAGACCCCCUAAAAUACACAAACAAAAGUUACCAAAUGGGAGGACAUCCACCAUCAAUUUUCGAGAGGAAAAGCAAAACCCGGAUAAGGAGAAAAUACUCAAACUUGAAGCUGUUUCUUCUACCAAAAAUCAUAUUUUAACCAUUUCCUUCCAAGUCUAUGCCAUCUCGUAAAAGAAAACCAAACCAACGGACAAGAGAAAUCAUAAUCCAAACCCACACAAUCGAAAAAUAGACAAAAUAGUGGCCGAUAAGGAAACAUCAUACCACAUGCCAUAUCAAAAUCACCCAAAUAGAUUUGAAAACAUAUGGUCAUAUUUCAAAAUUGAAUGAGAAGGAUGAUGAUUACAUAAGAAUAUACAAUCUGGAACUGACAAAAACUCACUGAUCGAUAAGCUAAUUAAAUCACAAAAUAAAUUAUCUUGCCAUCAUCAGAUCCAACCGAGAUCUCUAGCUUAAGCAAUUGGCGAUCCUAUCCACAGUAUUCAGUUGUACUUAAGCUCCUUAUCCAGGUAUACAUACGCUCUAGUAAAAUCAGAUCCUCAUUCUACUUGCACAGUUAGCUUAGCUCCAUAAAUAAACAUGAAACACAACCAACAAAACAGAAAGUACCAAAUAGUAAUAAAGUAGUAAAGCAGUAAAGGGAUUUAAAAGAUACAUUAAAAAAAUUGUGAUAUAAAGUUAUAAAGUUAGAAAAAUAAGGAGAGAGAGAGAGAGAGAGAGAGAGAGAGAGAGAGAGAGAGAGAGAGAUUGAAAUAUCUGGAACUGACGGGAGUUUCAGAGCUGAGUUCCUACUUUAUUACCACAACUGCGGAUCAACACAGUCGAAAGCAACGGUUGAAGGUCAAGAAAUAUCAUAUUGCACAUAUAUAUCAUAAGGAGAAUCAAAGAGAGGUUCUUCAGAUGAGACAAAUAG